rnacentral:rRNA from 1 species
GACGAACGCUGGCGGCGUGCUUAACACAUGCAAGUCGAACGGAAAGGCCCUGCUUUUGUGGGGUGCUCGAGUGGCGAACGGGUGAGUAACACGUGAGUAACCUGCCCUUGACUUUGGGAUAAUUUCAGGAAACUGGGGCUAAUACCGGAUAGGAGCUCCUGCUGCAUGGUGGGGGUUGGAAAGUUUCGGCGGUUGGGGAUGGACUCGCGGCUUAUCAGCUUGUUGGUGGGGUAGUGGCUUACCAAGGCUUUGACGGGUAGCCGGCCUGAGAGGGUGACCGGCCACGUUGGGACUGAGAUACGGCCCAGACUCCUACGGGAGGCAGCAGUGGGGAAUAUUGCACAAUGGGCGGAAGCCUGAUGCAGCAACGCCGCGUGCGGGAUGACGGCCUUCGGGUUGUAAACCGCUUUCGCCUGUGACGAAGCGUGAGUGACGGUAAUGGGUAAAGAAGCACCGGCUAACUACGUG